rnacentral:rRNA from 1 species
GCUUACGGCCAUAUCAGUCUGAAUACGCCCGAUCUCGUCUGAUCUCGGAAGCUAAGCAGGGUCGGGCCUGGUUAAUACUUGGAUGGGAGACCGCCUGGGAAUACCAGGUGCUGUAAACC